GCAGUGGGUACGGGCAAACUAGAGUGCGGUAGGGGAGAUUGGAAUUCCUGGUGUAGCGGUGGAAUGCGCAGAUAUCAGGAGGAACACCAAUGGCGAAGGCAGAUCUCUGGGCCGUAACUGACGCUGAGGAGCGAAAGCGUGGGGAGCGAACAGGAUUAGAUACCCUGGUAGUCCACGCCGUAAACGGUGGGAACUAGAUGUGGGGUCCGUUCCACGGAUUCCGUGUCGCAGCUAACGCAUUAAGUUCCCCGCCUGGGGAGUACGGCCGCAAGGCUAAAACUCAAAGGAAUUGACGGGGGCCCGCACAAGCGGCGGAGCAUGCGGAUUAAUUCGAUGCAACGCGAAGAACCUUACCAAGGCUUGACAUAUAGAGGAAAAGUGUAGAAAUACACUCCCCGCAAGGUCUCUAUACAGGUGGUGCAUGGUUGUCGUCAGCUCGUGUCGUGAGAUGUUGGGUUAAGUCCCGCAACGAGCGCAACCCUCGUCCUAUGUUGCCAGCACGUAAUGGUGGGAACUCAUGGGAUACUGCCGGGGUCAACUCGGAGGAAGGUGGGGAUGACGUCAAAUCAUCAUGCCCCUUAUGUCUUGGGCUUCACGCAUGCUACAAUGGCCGGUACAGAGGGCAGCAAUACCGCAAGGUGGAGCGAAUCCCAAAAAGCCGGUCUCAGUUCGGAUUGAGGUCUGCAACUCGACCUCAUGAAGUUGGAGUCGCUAGUAAUCGUGGAUCAGCAACGCCACGGUGAAUACGUUCCCGGGCCUUGUACACA
rnacentral:rRNA from 1 species